UGUUAAAAAAAUUUAUCCAUUUGUAUUAUUAAAAAUUGGUGUAGUUGACGGAAUAACAUAAUGACAUAUAACAUGCCACGUCUGCUUCAUGCCAGCGUACUGGGAGCAAAUUUUAAAAACAUAAAUGGAUAAAAUUUUUUACA
rfam:Gossypium raimondii Chr09_contig_1767, whole genome shotgun sequence.